rnacentral:rRNA from 1 species
UCGAUUCCCUUAGUAGCGGCGAGCGAAACGGGAAGAGCCCAAACCAACAAGCUUGCUUGUUGGGGUUGUAGGACACUCUAUACGGAGUUACAAAGGACGACAUUAGACGAAUCAUCUGGAAAGAUGAAUCAAAGAAGGUAAUAAUCCUGUAGUCGAAAAUGUUGUCUCUCUUGAGUGGAUCCUGAGUACGACGGAGCACGUGAAAUUCCGUCGGAAUCUGGGAGGACCAUCUCCUAAGGCUAAAUACUCUCUAGUGACCGAUAGUGAACCAGUACCGUGAGGGAAAGGUGAAAAGCACCCCGGAAGGGGAGUGAAAUAGAACCUGAAACCGUGUGCUUACAAGUAGUCAGAGCCCGUUAAUGGGUGAUGGCGUGCCUUUUGUAGAAUGAACCGGCGAGUUACGAUUUGAUGCAAGGUUAAGCAGUAAAUGUGGAGCCGUAGCGAAAGCGAGUCUGAAUAGGGCGUUUAGUAUUUGGUCGUAGACCCGAAACCAGGUGAUCUACCCUUGGUCAGGUUGAAGUUCAGGUAACACUGAAUGGAGGACCGAACCGACUUACGUUGAAAAGUGAGCGGAUGAACUGAGGGUAGCGGAGAAAUUCCAAUCGAACCUGGAGAUAGCUGGUUCUCUCCGAAAUAGCUUUAGGGCUAGCCUCAAGUGAUGAUUAUUGGAGGUAGAGCACUGUUUGGACGAGGGGCCCCUCUCGGGUUACCGAAUUCAGACAAACUCCGAAUGCCAAUUAAUUUAACUUGGGAGUCAGAACAUGGGUGAUAAGGUCCGUGUUCGAAAGGGAAACAGCCCAGACCACCAGCUAAGGUCCCAAAAUAUAUGUUAAGUGGAAAAGGAUGUGGCGUUGCCCAGACAACUAGGAUGUUGGCUUAGAAGCAGCCAUCAUUUAAAGAGUGCGUAAUAGCUCACUAGUCGAGUGACACUGCGCCGAAAAUGUACCGGGGCUAAACAUAUUACCGAAGCUGUGGAUUGUCCUUUGGACAAUGGUAGGAGAGCGUUCUAAGGGCGUUGAAGCAUGAUCGUAAGGACAUGUGGAGCGCUUAGAAGUGAGAAUGCCGGUGUGAGUAGCGAAAGACGGGUGAGAAUCCCGUCCACCGAUUGACUAAGGUUUCCAGAGGAAGGCUCGUCCGCUCUGGGUUAGUCGGGUCCUAAGCUGAGGCCGACAGGCGUAGGCGAUGGAUAACAGGUUGAUAUUCCUGUACCACCUAUAAUCGUUUUAAUCGAUGGGGGGACGCAGUAGGAUAGGCGAAGCGUGCGAUUGGAUUGCACGUCUAAGCAGUAAGGCUGAGUAUUAGGCAAAUCCGGUACUCGUUAAGGCUGAGCUGUGAUGGGGAGAAGACAUUGUGUCUUCGAGUCGUUGAUUUCACACUGCCGAGAAAAGCCUCUAGAUAGAAAAUAGGUGCCCGUACCGCAAACCGACACAGGUAGUCAAGAUGAGAAUUCUAAGGUGAGCGAGCGAACUCUCGUUAAGGAACUCGGCAAAAUGACCCCGUAACUUCGGGAGAAGGGGUGCUCUUUAGGGUUAACGCCCA